UCCUGUUUGUUGAGACAAAGUCUCGCGCU
rnacentral:piRNA from 1 species